AUGGUCAUCCACCCGCCCUGGUCUUGCGAACUCGAAUGCGAAGACAUAGUUGAUCCAGAGUCUGACCCUGACUCCUACAUGGCUUGCGUCCGUGAAUGCUACUUGGGGUUCAGGAAUACCGUGUGUGGGAGGGCAGAAGGUGAAGAUGCAAGAGAAGGAGGAGGAGGAGCCGGUCUCCUAGCGAUGCCGGUGGAGCAUGCCGGCCCGGAAGAAGGAGAAGGGAAGAGGAAGCAAGAGGAUGCCGCCGUCCAGCUGAGCUACAACGAGAAGACCACUGCUACGAUCUCUGCAUCCGCAAGAAGGGCCUGGAGUUCCCUAAAUGCAUGA
rnacentral:rRNA from 1 species